GACGAACGCUGGCGGCGUGCCUAACACAUGCAAGUCGAGCGGGGUCCAUCCGGUAGCAAUACCGGGGAAGACCUAGCGGCGAACGGGUGAGUAACACGUGAGAAACCUGCCCCGAAGUCUGGGAUAACCCGAGGAAACUCGAGCUAAUACCGGAUGUCUUCUUCUGAUCGCAUGGUCGGAUGAAGAAAGAUUUAUCGCUUCGGGAGGGUCUCGCGGCCUAUCAGCUAGUUGGCGGGGUAACGGCCCACCAAGGCGUCGACGGGUAGCUGGUCUGAGAGGACGAUCAGCCACACUGGGACUGAGACACGGCCCAGACUCCUACGGGAGGCAGCAGUGGGGAAUAUUGCGCAAUGGGCGAAAGCCUGACGCAGCAACGCCGCGUGCGGGAUGAAGGCCUCGGUUGUAACGCUUCAGUGGGACGGAAGUUCAGACGGUACCC
rnacentral:rRNA from 1 species